CGAUCAGCGAUGGAGAAAGUGGUGUCGGUUUAGCUUACUAAGUUGAAAACGCAAUUGUUGAUCACAGAUUUCAACAGAAAUUCAAAGGAUCUGAGAGAAUUGAUGGUGGAUAUGAUGGGUCAAGUUAACGUUAAGCUCUUAGUCAGGUUUUUGGAAAGAAACAACGGUAUGUUCAUCGCUAGGACUCGCGGUUGUAGCCAUGCAGGAGACGAUUCAAGACAGUAGGACAGAUUUAGACAAAGUGCAGGAUUUUAAUGAAGACUCGCACCGGUACCCUGACAUGAACAUGUAAAUUUUUCGAGCCUCGAAACCAGCCUCGCUUAUGAUCAUGCCGAGUCAUAGCCGUGAUGGAAGUUGCCAGGAAACAACAGGUUAACUUAUCAUCAUAAAGUAAAUAGGCUUAUAACUCUGCCUACAUGUUUUCGCUUCCAAUAUCAUAGAACUUUAUUUUAUAAAUUCGCCAUGCAGAAGUUGCAGACGGUAUUUAAAACUGUAUAAAAUGAAACAACAGAACGAUAUGAAAUCGAUGAAAUUCUUGUUUGUUUACAAAAUAAACUGUAUAAAUAUC